rnacentral:lncRNA from 1 species
AAAGUUAUAUCCUUCAGGUCCUCUUCCAUUGUAAAAAGUACAUAUAAAAAUAGGGCUGAGCACACGUGACCCCUCCUGGGACUCAGCGAAGUUCCUGGCAGUGACUGGAACUCAGUGAACGUCUCUGGAAGUAACUGAUGGGGUAGACCAGGAGAAAAUACUUAGUCUCUAGUGGAGACAAAGAGACAAAAGGGGGCUACAAUUUUUUGUUUUAUUUAUGCUUUUCUCUUUUCCUUUUCUUAGGGCUAAGCUUGAAGCAGAAGAAACCACAGUAAAAACACUGGUCAAUGUAUGGUAAUUUUAAAGUCAUCUACUUCCUAUACAUGUGAUUGUUGGCCAGGGCAUUUAUGAUUUAUGUUAUAUUUUAUUUUCCUAUGGUCUUAAGUUGUUGGUUAUACUCUAGAACUUUGCAUACAUGCAGUUGUUGGCUGGGACAUUUAUGAUUUAUCUUGUAUUUUACAAUUGUCUUAAGUUGUUGGUUAUCCUCUAGAACUUCCUGUACAUGUAGGGUUGGCCGGGCCACUCAUGAUUUAUGUUGUAUUUUAUUUUGCUAUGAUCUUAAGUUGUUGGUUUUCCUCUAGAACUUCUUGUACAUGUAAUUGUUGGCCAGGGAAUUUAUGAUUUACAUUGUGUUUUAUUUUAUUAUGAUCAUAAGUUGUUGGUUUUCCUCUAGAACUUCCCAUACAUAAUUCUUGGCCAGGGCAUUUAUGACGUAUGUUGUGUUUUAUUUUGCAAUGGUCUUAAGUUGUUGUUGUUGUUGUUUUCUAGAACUUUAGUGCAUUUCACAGUAACAUAUUUUAGUGGAUGGUGAGGUAAGGGCCCAAACCCCCCAAAACAAAUUGUAAAUUCCAGUAAAAACUAUUACCCAGUAGUUGGCAUGGAAAAGUUUGGUGGCUCCUUACAAAGUUAAAUGUAGAACUACCGUAUCACACAGAAACUCCACUCCUAGGCAUAUAUGUCCGGAAGAAUUGUGGGCAGAGGCUGGAACAGAUAAUUGUACAGGAAAGUCAUAACAACAUCAUUCACCAUAACCAAAAAGCAGAAGCAACCAUGCCCAUGGAGAGGUGAAUGGGUAAGCCCAACGUGGUCUGUCCAUACAAGGGAAUGCUUUCAGCCUCAACAAGGGAUGGAGUUUUCAUACACGCUGCAACCAGGAUGGACCUGCAAAACACAUGAAGUGCAGUAAGCCAGACACAGAAGGACAGAUAUGACAUGUCUCCAUGGACACGGAAUACUUAGAACAGGCAAUUUCACAGACAGAAGGUAGAGUGGAGACACUCAAGGCUGGGGAAUGGGAUGGAGGGGGUGUUGUUAUUGGAGGUGCCGAGCUUAUGUUGGGGAUGGUGAAGAAGUUUUGGGGAUAGCAGUGGUGAGGGCUACACAAAUUGUGAAUAGAUGAUUUAAUGCUCCUUCAUCGUCUGCUGAAAAACGGCUACAACGGCAAGCAUUCUAUUCUCUAUGCUUUACCAUAGCAAAAAAAAAAAAAUGAAUACCUAGUAGGAACUUUAUGCGGUUAUUUUGAAACAUGGGUCAGAUUCUACAUUUACUCUCCAAGAUCACAACGAUAAGUGUUUUGUGAAUGGUGGAGCCAGUGAUGCAGAGAGGACGGCCGACACUGCCCCCCAGGGGCUCUGAGCCCCUGUCUCCUCACCUGUGAAGCAGACGCAAGUUACUUGGAAGUAUUUUCAAGCACGAACGUGCAUGACGGCUCGGAUCUACUCAGCGACUUUCCAGAGAGCCGUGUGGCUUUACUAAUGACAGACAUCGUGGUGCAUUCCAGACCCCUGGGCUUGUUCAUCUGACGUCACUGCAACCUCCUGAUUCCACUCAAUAGGCCAAGACAAGCGGAAGCUCCGGUUCAGGGAGAACGUUCCCCAGGAAAUCAGGGCAGCAGAGUUUUCCAGGAACGGAGGCUGUGACGGUGGAGGGUGGCCAGGCAGCAGGAGGCCGGGGAAGCGGGUGUCCUGAAGCAGAGGCCGCGGCGCCACGUGUAUGGCAGCUUGCAGGUGAGGAGCACUGCAGUGAAACAAAUCAGACCCCGCAGAGGUGAGCGUAAGGGAAGGGAGCUGCCCCCUCCCGCCACCCCCCUGCUCUCCUGCGGCUGUAGAAGCCGGGGCCUGAGCUGUGUCGCUCCCCUGAAGACCUCGGGGCAGCAUGUGGGCCAAGUUCCAGCCUGCUUCACAGUCCUUCCGGGGAUUGUGGUGGUGAGAGGUUUUUUCUAAUUUUAUGAAAGGUAUCACUAUCUUUUUUUCCUGAUUAUCUUGGUAGUUUGUAGAGAGAAG